rnacentral:piRNA from 1 species
UUGAACUCCUGUUCUACACUUCCCC